rnacentral:rRNA from 1 species
AGGUGCUGCAUGGCUGUCGUCAGCUCGUGUUGUGAAAUGUUGGGUUAAGUCCCGCAACGAGCGCAACCCUUAUCCUUUGUUGCCAGCGGUCUGGCCGGGAACUCAAAGGAGACUGCCAGUGAUAAACUGGAGGAAGGUGGGGAUGACGUCAAGUCAUCAUGGCCCUUACGACCAGGGCUACACACGUGCUACAAUGGCGCAUACAAAGAGAAGCGACCUCGCGAGAGCAAGCGGACCUCAUAAAGUGCGUCGUAGUCCGGAUUGGAGUCUGCAACUCGACUCCAUGAAGUCGGAAUCGCUAGUAAUCGUGGAUCAGAAUGCCACGGUGAAUACGUUCCCGGGCCUUGUACACACCGCCCGUCACACCAUGGGAGUGGGUUGCAAAAGAAGUAGGUAGCUUAACCUUCGGGAGGGCGCUUACCACUUUGUGAUUCAUGACUGGGGUGAAGUCGUAACAAGGUAACCGUAGGGGAACCUGCGGUUGGAUCACCUC